UUGAUUAAAAUUCCGCUCAGACUCCGACGCAGUAACGCAGAGUGGUGUGGUCCUCCGGGGGCGCCGACGCGGAGGCCGGGUCGCCCCCGAGGCAACAGAGUUGGUAACUUCAAAGGGUUGGAGGUCGGGCCAAGGGCCCUCACUCGGUAAUGAUCCCUCCGCAGGUUCACCUACGGAGA
rnacentral:misc_RNA from 1 species